GACGAACGCUGGCGGCGUGCCUAAUACAUGCAAGUAGAACGCUGAAGAGAGGAGCUUGCUCUUCUUGGAUGAGUUGCGAACGGGUGAGUAACGCGUAGGUAACCUGCCUUGUAGCGGGGGAUAACUAUUGGAAACGAUAGCUAAUACCGCAUAACAAUGGAUGACACAUGUCAUUUAUUUGAAAGGGGCAAUUGCUCCACUACAAGAUGGACCUGCGUUGUAUUAGCUAGUAGGUGAGGUAAUGGCUCACCUAGGCGACGAUACAUAGCCGACCUGAGAGGGUGAUCGGCCACACUGGGACUGAGACACGGCCCAGACUCCUACGGGAGGCAGCAGUAGGGAAUCUUCGGCAAUGGGGGCAACCCUGACCGAGCAACGCCGCGUGAGUGAAGAAGGUUUUCGGAUCGUAAAGCUCUGUUGUAAGUCAAGAACGGGUGUGAGAGUGGAAAGU
rnacentral:rRNA from 1 species